GGGGAAUAUUGGGCAAUGGACGCAAGUCUGACCCAGCAACGCCGCGUGAAGGAAGAAGGCUUUCGGGUUGUAAACUUCUUUUAAGGGGGAAGAGUAGAAGACGGUACCCCUUGAAUAAGCCACGGCUAACUACGUGCCAGCAGCCGCGGUAAUACGUAGGUGGCAAGCGUUGUCCGGAUUUACUGGGUGUAAAGGGCGUGUAGCCGGGAAGGCAAGUCAGAUGUGAAAUCUGGAGGCUCAACCUCCAAACUGCAUUUGAAACUGCUUUUCUUGAGUGUCGGAGAGGUAGGCGGAAUUUGUGGUGUAGCGGUGAAAUGCAUAGAUAUCACGAGGAACUCCGAUUGCGCAGGCAGCUUACCAAGCCGUAACUGACGCUCAAGCACGAAGGCGUGGGGAUCAAACA
rnacentral:rRNA from 1 species